rnacentral:lncRNA from 1 species
CCUGUCUCCAAAUACAGUCACAAUGGGGGUUAAGGCUUCAACAUGCGAAUUUUGGGGGACACAAUUCAGUCCACAACAAGGAGCCAGGAUGGACCCUCAUGAAUGAACCUAAGAAAGGAAAAAUCUGGAGUCAACCUUGUUCCUACCUGGAAGAUGAAGAUGAUCAUCCAUCGUCAAAGAUGUACUCGCCAGCCUGAGUGUCUCAACAAAGUCAGACCAACAGCAGUGGUGACCGAGUUUAAGUGUCUAGUGAAACAGCAAUCUUCAUCGAUGUGGAAAUGACCUUCCGAUCUAACUAUUCUGCAAUCCUUGGUGGCCAGGCACUCUGACCUCAGCUAUCGUCAUGAGGUUCCUUGUUAGUCGGACUAUAUAGUUCUCAGCAAAAACUAAUUCUUGUGAUGCAAUUAAGAAAAGCCUAGGUACAAACUAAGCAGCCUUUCAACUGUGUUUGGGCAUUUUGAAGGCCAGUCUGCUUUUGGAAUGGCUCCCUUAAAGACCAAAUGGGUAAAAGCCAAGAACUCUGGGCAAUACUUCAAAAGCCAACAGCUGCUCUACACUCCCAGUCAAUCCCAAUUUGCCACUUGGCUGCUUACUGAUGAGCUGCUUGCAUGAGUGUUUGAUGGCACCACAGUGGAUUGCCUAGCUCACCCGCUGGCUUGUCAAGCUUUGGGCAGAUAUCUGGUACUCCAGAAGUUUGGCUUCUCUGCAAAACAUCUUGUUAUAAGGGAAAGAGUAUUUGAUUGGAAGUCAAGAAUCCAGUUUCAGAUUUGAACUGUCCCUAAUUACAUAUGUGGUGUUGGGCAAGUAACUUAACUGGGCCUUAUGGGGUUUCUUUGUUGUUUUGUUGUUGUUAUUAACAUUUUGUUAUAAGAAUUUUAAACUAUACAAAAACAAAAAGAAUAAUGCAAUGAAUCCCAUGUACUUGUCAUCUAUUUUCAAUAAUUGUCCAUUUUGAUUUAUCUAUAUCCUGCCUCACCCACUGGGUUAUUGUAAAAUAAAUCCUAGAC